UACAGAGGGGGCAAGCGUUGUUCGGAAUUACUGGGCGUAAAGGGCGCGUAGGCGGCCUUCUAAGUCGAACGUGAAAUCCCCGGGCUCAACCCGGGAACUGCGUCCGAUACUGGAAGGCUUGAAUCCGGGAGAGGGAUGCGGAAUUCCUGGUGUAGCGGUGGAAUGCGCAGAUAUCAGGAGGAACACCGAUGGCGAAGGCAGUUCUCUGGGACGUAACUGACGCUGAGGAGCGAAAGCGUGGGGAGCGAACAGG
rnacentral:rRNA from 1 species